GCAGCCGCGGUAAUACGUAGGGAGCAAGCGUUGUCCGGAUUUACUGGGUGUAAAGGGUGCGUAGGCGGCUUUGCAAGUCAGAUGUGAAAUCUAUGGGCUCAACCCAUAAACUGCAUUUGAAACUGUAGAGCUUGAGUGAAGUAGAGGCAGGCGGAAUUCCUCGUGUAGCGGUGAAAUGCGUAGAGAUGAGGAGGAACACCAGUGGCGAAGGCGGCCUGCUGGGCUUUAACUGACGCUGAGGCACGAAAGCGUGGGUAGCAAACAGGAUUAGAUACCCC
rnacentral:rRNA from 1 species